GACGUGACUUCAGAGUUUGAUCCUGGCUCAGAUUGAACGCUGGCGGCAGGCUUAACACAUGCAAGUCGAACGGUAACAGGAAGAAGCUUGCUUCUUUUGCUGACGAGUGGCGGACGGGUGAGUAAUGCUUGGGAAUCUGGCUUAUGGAGGGGGAGUAACUACUGGAAACGGUAGCUAAUACCGCGUAAUGUCUUAGGACUAAAGGGUGGGACUUUCGGGCCACCCUGCCAUAAGAUGAGCCCAAGUGGGAUUAGCUAGUUGGUGAGGUAAAGGCUCACCAAGGCGACGAUCUCUAGCUGGUCUGAGAGGAUGACCAGCCACACUGGAACUGAGACACGGUCCAG
rnacentral:rRNA from 1 species